UAUCAAUGGACGCCGACCACAUCUACCCUUUUGGCGUAGAAAAAUCAAGCCUCCAUCGUGCGCUAAUGUGUAUUUGGCAGUUGUCUGCCCCAGUCCGCCUGAAUCGGCAAGUUUACGACUUGCUCUCAAUAACGAAAGAAAGCAUUUGGCAUAUAUAUGGCCGUAGCCUCCUGUCACUCUCGACAUUCCCAUCGACACGGUUCAGCUCGUCGCGAAGCUCUUGACACAACAAUGUGAACUACUCAGCUCAUUCAAUAACUGCACGCAAGCCAGUUGACCCCGCUACGAACGCAGAAUGAACCUUGCUAUCACAACAUUGAGAUGAAAUGAAAGUUAGUUAAAGCUCAUCAGCGUGGUGGUGACGCAGGCAAUCGUUUACGGUGCAUAUAUUGUGGGACGACUGUUGAAAAUCCUCCUACUGUCCCGAUCUGCAGCCGGGCUAGCCGUAUUUCCUGGCUUUCCCAUUCGACAGUGACAUAUCCGCAUCUAGAUUGAGUUGAUUUAACAUAUCUGGAAGCAUGAAUGAAACAGGUUUACUCCAUGUAGACGUAGUCACAAGUGGCUCACUUGCUAAUCGGCUUCGAAGGAGUGUUUUCUCUCCAAAAAGACUCUCGUGAAAUGCUGUGGCUUUCAUAUUCGUGGUCUGCAGCAAUUUAAAGAAAAAUCUCAUCUGGAGCUCGAGACGUGUCAGCCCCUUACAGUGUGAGGCUCGGUUUUGCUCUGAAAUCUACUGGGACGCCUCCGCGAUUUCGGCGGACGCACCCUUCGUUUUCCUUGCGUCGUCUUUAACGCUCCAGAAGAACAAUCCGCUUUGCGAGUGGACUUAGUGAGGUCGACAUGAGAACAACUCUGCGGGAAGACACAAUGGGGGAACGUCAACCAUACCUUUUUCAAGGUUUGCUUCGGUGCAGAGUCCCCCAGUUCCGUUGUCCUGGCCUUCUUCACCAACACUGUUUUCGUCGAGUGGUUUUUCCUUUUCUCGUGGCAGUGUACAGAGGUGCAAGAUGGUGCCACCACUUCAGUCCUCGUAGCGGCACGCGUUGGCUGCCUAUUGACUCCUGCCUUAGACUGCACUUUUCUGAUCCAACCCCUGGAUUGUUUGACCGAGCUGCCCUUCCGCCCGUCGCGACUUGUGUUGCGUCUGGAUCUAUUAUUGGCGCAGCAGCGCGCAUCCACUGAUAAAGCA
rnacentral:lncRNA from 1 species